rnacentral:misc_RNA from 1 species
UCACCCCUCAAGCCCGGCUUGCUGUUGGUGGCGGCGGGGGCCUCGCGCCCCCGCCCCGCCCAAAGAUAAUGACGGCGUCUGUGAGGACCCCUGUACACUGAGCUCUCGGGCACGUACACGGCGGGAGUCCGGGCGCCGGUCGCCGUCUCUCCGGAGACACUUUUUUCUAA